GUACUGGAGCAUUUUCAAGAUCAGUGCCAAGAAUUAUGAGGGAGAAUGUAUGGUUAUAAGCUAAAAGAGGAUGUGUAAGGGUAAACCAAAGCCAAAUGUUAGGGUGCGCACCCAAAAGCCUGAGAGGGAAAGAUGGUCAGUGGGUCUAAAGUAUUCAGCGAAGGCCUCCUAGAAGUGUGGUUUAGACUGCACUUUGAAAAAUAUGUGUAAGUGCAAACAUAUUUAGGAAAAACAUUUUUCAUUUUAUACACUUGCUUUGUUUUGAAAUAUUACUGAUAUCUAUCUGUCCAGGACUAUUUAAAUCCCAUUUUAUUUAGAGACAGAUUAAAUAUAACAGACGUUUUUACUUUCAGGAUAUUAGAAUUUUACAGCU
rnacentral:lncRNA from 1 species